rnacentral:rRNA from 1 species
ACGUAGGGGGCAAGCGUUGUCCGGAUUUACUGGGUGUAAAGGGUGCUCAGGCGGGUUUGUAAGUCAGAGGUGAAACUCCGAAGCUUAACUUCGGAACUGCCUUUGAUACUGCAUCCCUAGAGUUUGAGAGAGGCGAGUGGAAUAUCUGGUGUAGCAGUGAAAUGCGUAGAUAUCAGAUAGAACACCAAUGGCGAAGGCAGCUCGCUGGCUCAAUACUGACGCUAAAGCACGAAAGUGUGGGUAGCAAACAG